GCUUCAGCCUUUGAUGGUUUGGGUCCUGGGAGUCUGACUAUGAAGGCCAACCAGAACAGUGAAUGGGAAGAGGCUUACAUCAACUCAGGCCGAACUGGUUGGUUCGGUGCAUUCGUGGUAAUGAUUGGCUUAGGCAUCAUUUAUGGCUUGGUCCUAUAUUAAUGAAGUCUAGGCAUAGCAACCCAGGGGUCCGCUCCCCAACCGAGCCACUCACCAAACACUAACCAGCCAAGUCAGCCAUCAGGCAAGAAAUUCAACCGCUGAGACAUCUAGCCAAGAAAUCCUCUAACCAAGGAACUCAACAUUCAAGAAACCCACCAACCCAGGAACACACAGACCACCUGCCUGUGCUACUUCAACUCACUCAGCUCCAGAGCUGUCUUCGUUCACCCUAGGGGUCCACACUUCAUGCCCUAGAUCCCUUUAGCUCCUUGACACUGGGCUGUUC
rnacentral:lncRNA from 1 species